CCUGUAGCUGACUGACGGAGGAUCAUUACACAUAUAAAGUAUGCCUGGGAAAAUUCGAAAGAAAAGUACCCAGGCGUAUUCUUAUACCCAUGUCUUUUGCGUACUACUUGUUUCCUUGGUGGGCUUGCCUGCCAUUAGGACACCCCUACAAACCUUUUGUAAUUGCAGUCAGCGUCAGAAAAUAACGUAAUCGUUACAACUUUCAACAACGGAUCUCUUGGUUCUGGCAUCGAUGAAGAACGCAGCGAAAUGCGAUAAGUAGUGUGAAUUGCAGAAUUCAGUGAAUCAUCGAAUCUUUGAACGCACAUUGCGCCCCUUGGUAUUCCAUGGGGCAUGCCUGUUCGAGCGUCAUUUGUACCCUCAAGCUUUGCUUGGUGUUGGGCGUCUUGUCCCGCGUUGUCGCGUGGACUCGCCUUAAAGCGAUUGGCAGCCGGCAUAUUUGGCCUUGGAGCGCAGCACAUUUUGCGCCUCUUGCCUUGAAUGUUGGCGUCCAUUAAGCCUAUUACAUUUUGCAUUUUGACCUCGGAUCAGGUAGGGAUACCCGCUGAACUUAAGCAUAUCAUAACG
rnacentral:rRNA from 1 species